CAUAUACUCCCUCUAUUCGAAAUUACUUGUCGCGAAAAUGAAUGUAUCUAGACGUAUUUUAGUACUAGAUACAUCCAUUUUCGAGACAAGUAAUUCCGAACGGAGGGAAUACAAG
rfam:Triticum aestivum genome assembly, contig: Triticum_aestivum_CS42_TGACv1_scaffold_577774_7BL